GUCUUCGUAGCUCAGCUGGUAGAGCGUUUACGGCGUUGGUGUUUCUGUAGCUGGUUCGAAUCCAGCCGAAGCCC